rnacentral:tRNA from 1 species
GCGGGUGUGAUGGAAUCGGUAGACAUACAGGACUUAAAAUCCUGAGGCCCCACCGGGCCGUGCGGGUUCGAGUCCCGCCACCCGCA